rnacentral:lncRNA from 1 species
GGUGUUACACUCUGACUUGUUCACAGUCCGCAGGGUGAAGCCAGAGCACAACUAUGGAAGCAGCCAUCAGAUUGUGACAUAUGUACCCACACGAAUUACUCUCUCACUUGUGAGCUACUAAACAGAUAAAUAAAUAGCCACUCAUUUGACUUCAAAUUAAUUUGUACCUUAUGGCCAGGGAAAAACAAACAAAAUCAAUUAUCUUAACCAAUUCCGGUGAUAAUUCAUUAACUUGAUCAUUCAGUCCAAUUAUCCUCACCUGCAGUAUCUUCAAUCAAAUAAGGAUCAAUCAAUCAGUCAAUAGAGCUCAUCCUUGCUCAUUCAUUAACUCAAAUACUGGUCUUUUCAACCCACUUCUCCAAACACUCACUCACAAUUCAGAAAUGCCUCUGGCCUUAAUGGAGAGUUUCCCAAUCAUGAUGAUUAAUCCCAAGAUUUUUGAGCUAUAUAAUUGCACCCCCCAGACAGAGGGUAGAAAAUGACUGUAAAAUGCUCCAGUUGUACAAACUACAGCAAUUCAAGCAUUGUUUUUCAGCUCAUGGCAGACAGAUUUUCCUCUCAUUAAGGGCAAGAAGUCUAAGCAUCUUGAGCAAAAUGAAGAAUUCGCUAUGGCCAGUGUCCAGCUCAAACGUUCUUAAGGAAGGAGGGUUUCCAUGGGGCAGAGUCCACGUACCAACAUUGCUUGGCCUUGUUUUACAUGAGCCCUUUAAGCAGAAGAGACAGGUUAGUAUGAUUUCUGUAAUUUAUGCAGAUCUUCCCAUUUUGCCUUAGUCAUAACUUUCU